UACGUGGGGGGCAAGCGUUGUUCGGAAUUACUGGGCGUAAAGGGCGCGUAGGCGGUGCUCUAAGUCGGAUGUGAAAACUCUGGGCUCAACCCAGAGCCUGCAUCCGAAACUGGAGUGCUAGAGUUCUGGAGGGGGUAGCGGAAUUCCUGGUGUAGCGGUGAAAUGCGUAGAUAUCAGGAGGAACACCGGUGGCGAAGGCGGCUACCUGGACAGAAACUGACGCUGAGGCGCGAAAGCCAGGGGAGCAAACGGG
rnacentral:rRNA from 1 species